AACGAACGCUGGCGGCAUGCCUAACACAUGCAAGUCGAACGAGACCUUCGGGUCUCGUGGCGCACGGGUGCGUAACGCGUGGGAACCUGCCCUUAGGUUCGGAAUAACUCCCCGAAAGGGGUGCUAAUACCGGAUAAUGUCUUCGGACCAAAGAUUUAUCGCCUUUGGAUGGGCCCGCGUUGGAUUAGCUAGUUGGUAGGGUAAAAGCCUACCAAGGCGACGAUCCAUAGCUGGUCUGAGAGGAUGAUCAGCCACACUGGGACUGAGACACGGCCCAGACUCCUACGGGAAGCAGCAGUGGGGAAUAUUGGACAAUGGGCGAAAGCCUGAUCCAGCAAGGCCGCGUGAGUGAUGAAGGCCUUAGGGUUGUAAAGCUCUUUUACCCGGGAUGAUAAUGACAGUACCGGGAGAAUAAGCUCCGGCUAACUCCGUG
rnacentral:rRNA from 1 species